AUCAUGGAUAGUUUGAUCCGGGCUCAGAACGAACGCUGGCGGCGCGUCUUAAGCAUGCAAGUCGAGCGGCAAGGAAGAAGCUUGCUUUUUCCCUAGAGCGGCGGACUGGUGAGUAACGCGUGGGUGACGUACCCUCCGGACGGGGACAGCCUGUGGAAACACAGGAUAAUACCGGAUACGGUGCAUGUUGUCAGAGGACAUGCAGGAAAGGUUCUUUUGAACCGCCGGAGGAGCGGCCCGCGUACUAUUAGCUAGUUGGUGAGGUAACGGCCCACCAAGGCAGUGAUAGUUACCCGGCCUAAGAGGGUGGACGGGCACAUUGGGACUGAGAUACGGCCCAGACUCCUACGGGAGGCAGCAGCUAAGAAUAUUCCGCAAUGGACGAAAGUCUGACGGAGCGACGCCGCGUGGACGAAGAAGGCCGGAAGGUUGUAAAGUCCUUUUAUGACCGAGGAAUAAGGAGAAUGAGAGAAACGUUUUCCGGUGACGGUAGGUCAUGAAUAAGCAACGGCUAAUUACGUGCCAGCAGCCGCGGUAACACGUAAGUUGCGAGCGUUGUUCGGAAUUAUUGGGCGUAAAGGGCAUGUAGGCGGUAAUGCAAGUCUGGUGUGAAAUGCCGGGGCUCAACCCCGGAACAGCGUUGGAAACUGCAUUGCUUGAGUCACUGAGGGGCAGGCAGAAUUCCUGGUGUAGGGGUGAAAUCUGUAGAUAUCAGGAAGAAUACCGAUGGCGAAGGCAGCCUGCCAGCGGAUGACUGACGCUGAGGUGCGAAGGUGCGGGGAGCGAACAGGAUUAGAUACC
rnacentral:rRNA from 1 species